GACGAACGCUGGCGGCGUGCUUAACACAUGCAAGUCGAACGGAAAGGCCCCAGCUUGCUGGGGUACUCGAGUGGCGAACGGGUGAGUAACACGUGGGUGAUCUGCCCUGCACUCUGGGAUAAGCCUGGGAAACUGGGUCUAAUACCGGAUAGGACCGUGCUUUAGUGUGUGCGGUGGAAAGUUUUUCGGUGCAGGAUGAGCCCGCGGCCUAUCGGCUUGUUGGUGGGGUAAUGGCCUACCAAGGCGGCGACGGGUAGCCGGCCUGUGAGGGUGUACGGCCACAUUGGGACUGCGACACGGACCAGACUCCUACGGGAGGCAGCAGUGGGGAAUAUUGCACAAUGGGCGCAAGCCUGAUGCAGCGGCGCCGCGUGGGGGAUGACGGCCUUCGGGUUGUAAACCACUUUCGGCAGGGACGAAGCUUUUGUGACGGUACCUGCAGAAGAAGCACCGGCUAACUACGUG
rnacentral:rRNA from 1 species